rnacentral:rRNA from 1 species
CCUACGGGUGGCUGCAGUGAGGAAUAUUGGUCAAUGGACGAGAGUCUGAACCAGCAAAGUAGCGUGAAGGAUGAAUGCCCUCUGGGUUGUAAACUUCUUUUAUAUGGGAAUAAAACGUUGCAAGUGUGGGAUUUUGUAUGUACCAUAUGAUUAAGGAUAGGCUAAGUCCGGGCCAACAGCCGCGGUAAUACGGAGGAUCCGAGCGUUAUCCGGAUUUAUUUGGUUUAAAGGGAGAGUAGGUGGAUUGUUAAGUCAGUUGUGAAAGUUUACGGCUCAACCGUAAAAUUGCAGUUGAUACUGGCAGUCUUGAGUACAGUAGAGGGGGGCGGAAUUCGUGGUGUAGCGGUGAAAUGCGUAGAUAUCACGAAGAACUCCGAUGGCGAAGGCAGUUCACUGGACUGCAACUGACACUGAGGCUCGAAAGUGUGGGUAUCAAACAGGAUUAGAUACCCCAGUAGUC